AUUGAACGCUGGCGGAGGCCUAACACAUGCAAGUCUAGCGACCGGCGGAUGGGUGCGUAACGCGUAUGCAACUUGCCUCACAGAGGAAAAUAACCCGGAGAAAUCCGGACUAAUGCUCCAUCCUGUGAGAUAGGCAUGCGUCCUAUUAGGUAGGUGGUGAGGUAACGGCUCACCAAGCCGACGAUAGGUAGGGGUGCUGAGAGGCAGAUCCCCCAAAAUGGGACUGAGACACGGCCCAAACUCCUACGGGAGGCAGCAGUGAGGAAUAUUGGUCAAUGGAGGAAACUCUGAACCAGCCAAGUCGCGUGAAGGAAGAAUGUCUAAGGAGUGUAAACUUCUUUAGCGAGCGAGUAAGUAGCUCGAGAAUAAGUAUCGGCUAACUCCGUGCCAGCAGCCGCGGUAAUUC
rnacentral:rRNA from 1 species